GGAAUUUUGGGCAAUGGGCGAAAGCCUGACCCAGCAACGCCGCGUGAAGGAUGAAGUAUUUCGGUAUGUAAACUUCGAAAGAAUGGGAAGAAUCAAUGACGGUACCAUUUAUAAGCUCCGGCUAACUACGUGCAAGCAGCCGCGGUAAUACGUAGGGAGCCAGCGUUGUUCGGAUUUACUGGGCGUAAAGGGCGCGUAGGCGGCAAAUCAAGUCAGCUGUGAAAUCUCCGAGCUUAACUCGGAACGGUCAGCUGAUACUGUUUUGCUAGAGUGCAGAAGGGGCAAUCGGAAUUCUUGGUGUAGCGGUGAAAUGCGUAGAUAUCAAGAGGAACACCUGAGGUGAAGACGGGUUGCUGGGCUGACACUGACGCUGAGGCGCGAAAGCCAGGGGAGCAAAC
rnacentral:rRNA from 1 species